GACAGAGGGGGCAAGCGUUAAUCGGAAUUACUGGGCGUAAAGCGUGCGCAGGCGGUGAUGUAAGACAGAUGUGAAAUCCCCGGGCUCAACCUGGGAACUGCAUUUGUGACUGCAUCGCUGGAGUGCGGCAGAGGGGGAUGGAAUUCCGCGUGUAGCAGUGAAAUGCGUAGAUAUGCGGAGGAACACCGAUGGCGAAGGCAAUCCCCUGGGCCUGCACUGACGCUCAUGCACGAAAGCGUGGGGAGCAAACAGG
rnacentral:rRNA from 1 species